AUGCUGUUCUGGAAUACGCUGUGGUUCCGAGGCCAGCCGUGGAUGGCCCGUCAGGACAUCAGACCACAGCUGCCUUCUCCCACCUCAUCCCACCUUGUUCUUUAGGAGGAAUACGCAGUUGAGGGCCUGGAGUGGUCAUUCAUCAACUACCAGGACAACCAGCCCUGUUUGGAUCUCAUUGAGGGAAGCCCCAUCAGCAUCUGCUCCCUCAUAAAUGAGGAAUGCCGCCUCAAUCGACCCAGCAGCGCAGCCCAGCUCCAGACACGCAUUGAGACUGCCCUGGCAGGCAGUCCCUGCCUGGGCCACAAUAAGCUCAGCCGGGAGCCCAGCUUCAUUGUGGUGCAUUAUGCGGGGCCUGUGCGGUACCACACAGCAGGCCUGGUGGAGAAGAACAAGGACCCUAUCCCACCUGAGCUGACCAGGCUCCUGCAGCAAUCCCAGGACCCCCUGCUUAUGGGGCUGUUUCCUACUAACCCCAAAGAGAAGACCCAGGAGGAACCCCCUGGCCAGAGCAGGGCCCCUGUGUUGACCGUGGUGUCUAAGUUCAAGGCCUCACU
rnacentral:sRNA from 1 species